rnacentral:tRNA from 1 species
AUUUUUAUAGUGUAAGAAACACACUACAUUUUCGUUGUAGGACUGAAACAUAGUUUCUAAAAAUU